GCAAAGUGAUAAUGUAUGGAUAGAAAGAAAAAAAUAACAGAAACAGCUAGAACAGAAGGUAUGUAAUAAUCUCAAACUGGAUUCAGCCAUGGGUAUCCACAUGGAAAAUGGAACCUCAAAGCAAGUGACUGUUAAGGGAUAAAUGCAGAGAAAGAAGAAUGCUCAGAUGGACACAGCAUGGAAGGUUUUCAAGAAUAUGAUAGCACCGUCAACAAGAGUAUGAAAAAGAGGACAAUCAAAGAAGAUGCGCUGCUAGAGGUGCGAUGUGUAUCGCGAUUGGGGUGUCAUUGCAUUGCAGAUUUGCAGUUGGCGUGGCGUGACUACAGCCACGUGGUGAGGGGGCCUUUCGUUCUGGGUGCUCAAGGAUGCAGGAGAUGGGCGAAAAGUUGGUGCCACCACACCACACACAGUUAAAUUGUUACAGCAGUACACAGUAGUACGGAGUACGCUGCUCCAUUUAUUACUACUCGGUUUUUAGCGCGGAGGACCCUCCACUGUCUCACUAUGUCCUGUCUCCUGUGACGGAGCAAUUGAAUGAAGUACUCCCGCCAUCUAAAAAAAAUCAUGUAAAUUUUUAAUUAAUAAUAUAUAUAUGGCUCUAAAUCAAUUUAUUAUAAAAAUACAUUUCGUAAUUAAUCUUAUUUGAUAUUAUAAAUAUUGAUAAUUUUUUAUUUAAUUAGUCAAACUUAAGAUACUAAAAUGUGAGACUGUGUGCUAGAAUUGCAUUCUUUAGACUGUCUCCAAUAGGUGAUCCAUAAGGGCACCCAAACUCAAAAUGGGUCUCCGACAGUACUGUAUCGGUCUCCAACAAUCCAUUUUGGGUGUCAGGAGAGACACUACCUAAAUCUGAGUAUCCUCUCUCCUGAAGACCUAUUUGCAGAAAGGGUUCUUAUUUGGGUCUUAUUGUUGGACAAGACCAAAAAUGAGUAUUGAACCCUUUACCUGUAGCGCUACUCAAACGUGGAAUAUGUCUUGUAUUUGGGGUGGCAUUGUUGAAGAUAGUCUUAGAGGGCUCAACCGUAAUACUAAUCCGGACGCUGCCUGCUGCUGAACGUGCAGGGGAUCAGAAGCAUCAGCUUGAGCAUUCACUUCGUGAGGAAAAGCCGCCUGUGUGCUGCUGUCCUACCAAUCUACAGUACCAUCCUAACCCAAACUCCUGUAGUCCUGUCGAUACACAGGCCUAGUAGGAGGAGGGACAUAAAUUGCAAUCCGACAAUUCAGUUCCUCACCCUAGAUCUAGCAGCUCACGAGUCACGACACAGCAUCGCUGCAGGAAUAUUUUCAAUUAAAAAUCUGAAUUUGAUUUGAAUAGUCGCAACUAAUUUCACACAAAGAAAGGACGACAUAGGAAUGAAAACGCUCUCGUGCAUGACCAAGUCCAAACAUGAAAGGAAAUACGUACAUUCAAUAUCAAUCCUAAUCUAGUUAGAGGCUUGGACUAGGGUUGACCCCACCAUAAGAUCGAGCUAGCUUAUCGCCAUGCAUUAAAUGAGAAAUUUUUGACAAAAAAAAAGAAUCACGUCUUUCAACCUGGCGUUCUGGUUGUGGAAUGUCACACUAUUUAUACGGUUGGUAAAUGUGAGUAAUUUAGAUUCAAAAUUAGAGUUACGUUACAUUAUCUUCCAUAUUGAGGAGUCUACUGAGCUUGAACAAGAGAAGGAGAUUGACAAGGUUGCUGAGGUUGAUCAGAAGGAGGAAAAAGGAGUGAAGUUGAAGAACACAUAAAUGGAAGCUGCUAUCAGUGCUUUGUUAAGAACUGUGAUAGGAUCUAAAUGGCUAGAGGGGGGGUGAAUAGCAUAUAAAAUUUACUUCAAAGCACUAGAGCAACUUGAUUAGUAAAUAAGUUUCCUUCUUCAAUCCUGGAAAGUUUGUGCUAUCAAAUACUUAUUUUAUCACAUGUAUCCAUCUUUUUUCUGUAAAAAAAUAAUAUAAAUAAACGCAAUAAAUCACUGGCAUGGAAUAACAUGAAGAUCAACUCUUGAGUUCAAGUGAAAUUGUGUAAACAAACCUUUAGAUCUUUAUUGCUCAACUUUCGGAUGGCCUUUAAAGCCAUCUCUUUAGUUCUGAAAUUAAUAAAAGCAUAUGUCUUGUUAUCCCCCUUUCCUCGCAUUCGCACCUGCAGAAAAAAAGGGACUCUGAAUUGCAAAAGAAAAGAAAUGCAAAAACUAAACCAGAGAAAGUAGGCAGUACUCACUUCCACAACUUCUCCAACAGAUUCAAACAGUCGUUUGAGAUCUUCAGAAGAUACAUCAGAGGAGAGCCCCCCAACAUAAACUUCAGCUCCAUGAGGAAGAGAGCAUGCUUCUCUUUUUUAUUCUCAUCCUUCGGAUCAUCAUCCACCAUUUUACUUUCAUGAUUAGCAUCAACUUCACGCACACCUUCAAUUUUUUCAUCCUCCUCGUCCUCCUCCUCCUCAUCAUCAUCAUCAUUAUCAUCCUCUACCUCUUCAUACUCAACCUCCUCCUCAAUUUCUUCGUACUCAACUUCUUCCUCUUCCAUCUACCUCGUCAGGAUCAUCAAACUCCAAUUGGUCUUGUUUGACCAAUUCAAUUGAUUUGGUCGAAGCAGCAUUUCCUGUUCUCCUUGGCAUCUUCCAAAGCUCAAAGUUCCAAGGAAACUUGGAAAGAGCACAGGAACCAAUAAUAUUGGGGAGCAAAGUGAUAAUGUAUGGAUAGAAAGAAAAAAAUAACAGAAACAGCUAGAACAGAAGGUAUGUAAUAAUCUCAAACUGGAUUCAGCCAUGGGUAUCCACAUGGAAAAUGGAACCUCAAAGCAAGUGACUGUUAAGGGAUAAAUGCAGAGAUAGAAGAAUGCUCGGAUGGACACAGCAUGAAAGGUUUUCAAGAAUAUGAUAGCACCGUCAACAAGAGUAUGAAAAAGAGGAGCCAUCACUUUAGUUCUGAAAUUAAUAAAAGCAUAUGUCUUGUUAUCCCCCUUUCCUCGCAUUCGCACCUACAGAAAAAAAAAAGGGACUCUGAAUUGCAAAAGAAAAGAAAUGCAAAAACUAAACCAGAGAAAGUAGGCAGUACUCACUUUCACAACUUCUCCAACAGAUUCAAACAGUCGUUUGAGAUCUUCAGAAGAUACAUCAGAGGAGAGCCCCCCAACAUAAACUUCAGCUCCAUGAGGAAGAGAGCAUGCUUCUCUUUUUCAUUCUCAUCCUUCGGAUCAUCAUUCACCAUUUUACUGUCAUGAUUAGCAUCAACUUCACGCACACCUUCAAUUUUUUCAUCCUCCUCAUCCUCCUCCUCCUCAUCAUCAUCAUCAUUAUCAUCCUCUACCUCUUCAUACUCAACCUCCUCCUCAAUUUCUUCGUACUCAACUUCUUCCUCUUCCAUCUACCUCGUCAGGAUCAUCAAACUCCAAUUGGUCUUGUUUGACCAAUUCAAUUGAUUUGGUCGAAGCAGCAUUUCCUGUUCUCCUUGGCAUCUUCCAAAGCUCAAAGUUCCAAGGAAACUUGGAAAGAGCACAGGAACCAAUAAUAUUGGGGAGCAAAGUGAUAAUGUAUGGAUAGAAAGAAAAAAAUAACAGAAACAGCUAGAACAGAAGGUAUGUAAUAAUCUCAAACUGGAUUCAGCCAUGGGUAUCCACAUGGAAAAUGGAACCUCAAAGCAAGUGACUGUUAAGGGAUAAAUGCAGAGAUAGAAGAAUGCUCGGAUGGACACAGCAUGAAAGGUUUUCAAGAAUAUGAUAGCACCGUCAACAAGAGUAUGAAAAAGAGGAGCCAUCACUUUAGUUCUGAAAUUAAUAAAAGCAUAUGUCUUGUUAUCCCCCUUUUCCUCGCAUUCGCACCUACAGAAAAAAAAAAGGGACUCUGAAUUGCAAAAGAAAAGAAAUGCAAAAACUAAACCAGAGAAAGUAGGCAGUACUCACUUCCACAACUUCUCCAACAGAUUCAAACAGUCGUUUGAGAUCUUCAGAAGAUACAUCAGAGGAGAGCCCCCCAACAUAAACUUCAGCUCCAUGAGGAAGAGAGCAUGCUUCUCUUUUUUAUUCUCAUCCUUCGGAUCAUCAUCCACCAUUUUACUUUCAUGAUUAGCAUCAACUUCACGCACACCUUCAAUUUUUUCAUCCUCCUCGUCCUCCUCCUCAUCAUCAUCAUCAUCAUUAUCAUCCUCUACCUCUUCAUACUCAACCUCCUCCUCAAUUUCUUCAUACUCAACUUCUUCCUCUUCCAUCUACCUCGUCAGGAUCAUCUAACUCCAAUUGGUCUUGUUUGACCAAUUCAAUUGAUUUGGUCGAAGUAGCAUUUCCUGUUCUCCUUGGCAUCUUGCAAAGCUCAAAGUUCCAAGGAAACUAUUGAAAGAGCACAGGAACCAAUAAUAUUGGGGAGCAAAGUGAUAAUGUAUGGAUAGAAAGAAAAAAAUAACAGAAACAGCUAGAACAGAAGGUAUGUAAUAAUCUCAAACUGGAUUCAGCCAUGGGUAUCCACAUGGAAAAUGGAACCUCAAAGCAAGUGACUGUUAAGGGAUAAAUGCAGAGAUAGAAGAAUGCUCGGAUGGACACAGCAUGAAAGGUUUUCAAGAAUAUGAUAGCACCGUCAACAAGAGUAUGAAAAAGAGGAGCCAUCACUUUAGUUCUGAAAUUAAUAAAAGCAUAUGUCUUGUUAUCCCCCUUUCCUCGCAUUCGCACCUACAGAAAAAAAAGGGACUCUGAAUUGCAAAAGAAAAGAAAUGCAAAAACUAAACCAGAGAAAGUAGGCAGUACUCACUUCCACAACUUCUCCAACAGAUUCAAACAGUCGUUUGAGAUCUUCAGAAGAUACAUCAGAGGAGAGCCCCCCAACAUAAACUUCAGCUCCAUGAGGAAGAGAGCAUGCUUCUCUUUUUUAUUCUCAUCCUUCGGAUCAUCAUCCACCAUUUUACUUUCAUGAUUAGCAUCAACUUCACGCACACCUUCAAUUUUUUCAUCCUCCUUGUCCUCCUCCUCCUCAUCAUCAUCAUCAUUAUCAUCCUCUACCUCUUCAUACUCAACCUCCUCCUCAAUUUCUUCAUACUCAACUUCUUCCUCUUCCAUCUACCUCGUCAGGAUCAUCUAACUCCAAUUGGUCUUGUUUGACCAAUUCAAUUGAUUUGGUCGAAGUAGCAUUUCCUGUUCUCCUUGGCAUCUUGCAAAGCUCAAAGUUCCAAGGAAACUAUUGAAAGAGCACAGGAACCAAUAAUAUUGGGGAGCAAAGUGAUAAUGUAUGGAUAGAAAGAAAAAAAUAACAGAAACAGCUAGAACAGAAGGUAUGUAAUAAUCUCAAACUGGAUUCAGCCAUGGGUAUCCACAUGGAAAAUGGAACCUCAAAGCAAGUGACUGUUAAGGGAUAAAUGCAGAGAAAGAAGAAUGCUUAGAUGGACACAGCAUGGAAGGUUUUCAAGAAUAUGAUAGCACCGUCAACAAGAGUAUGAAAAAGAGGACAAUCAAAGAAGAUGCGCUGCUAGAGGUGCGAUGUGUAUCGCGAUUGGGGUGUCAUUGC
rnacentral:lncRNA from 1 species